rnacentral:rRNA from 1 species
GGAAACGACGUCUAAUACCGGAUACGAGCUUCCACCGCAUGGUGAGUUGCUGGAAAGAAUUUUGGUCAAGGAUGGACUCGCGGCCUAUCAGCUUGUUGGUGAGGUAACGGCUCACCAAGGCGACGACGGGUAGCCGGCCUGAGAGGGUGACCGGCCACACUGGGACUGAGACACGGCCCAGACUCCUACGGGAGGCAGCAGUGGGGAAUAUUGCACAAUGGGCGAAAGCCUGAUGCAGCAACGCCGCGUGAGGGACGACGGCCUUCGGGUUGUAAACCUCUUUUAGCAGGGAAGAAGCGAAAGUGACGGUACCUGCAGAAAAAGCACCGGCUAACUACGUGCCAGCAGCCGCGGUAAUACGUAGGGUGCAAGCGUUGUCCGGAAUUAUUGGGCGUAAAGAGCUCGUAGGCGGUUUGUCGCGUCUGCUGUGAAAUCCCGAGGCUCAACCUCGGGUCUGCAGUGGGUACGGGCAGACUAGAGUGCGGUAGGGGAGAUUGGAAUUCCUGGUGUAGCGGUGGAAUGCGCAGAUAUCAGGAGGAACACCGAUGGCGAAGGCAGAUCUCUGGGCCGCUACUGACGCUGAGGAGCGAAAGGGUGGGGAGCAAACAGGCUUAGAUACCCUGGUAGUCCACCCCGUAAACGUUGGGCGCU